rnacentral:rRNA from 1 species
AGAGUUUGAUCCUGGCUCAGAAUCAACGCUGGCGGCGUGCCUCAGACAUGCAAGUCGAACGAUUAAAGCUCUCUUCGGAGAGUGUAUAGAGUGGCGCACGGGUGAGUAACACGUAAGUAAUCUACCCUCGAGUGGGGAAUAACGUUCGGAAACGAACGCUAAUACCGCAUAACGCAGCGGCACCGCAAGGUGACAGUUGUUAAAGGAGCAAUUCGCUUGAGGAGGAGCUUGCGGCAGAUUAGCUAGUUGGUAAGGUAACGGCUUACCAAGGCUACGAUCUGUAUCCGGUCUAAGAGGACGGUCGGACACACUGACACUGAAUAACGGGUCAGACUCCUACGGGAAGCAGCAGUCGGGAAUUUUGGGCAAUGGGCGAAAGCCUGACCCAGCAACGCCGCGUGAAGGAUGAAGUAUUUCGGUAUGUAAACUUCGAAAGAAUGGGAAGAAUAAAUGACGGUACCAUUUAUAAGCUCCGGCUAACUACGUGCCAGCAGCCGCGGUAAUACGUAGGGAGCAAGCGUUGUUCGGAUUUACUGGGCGUAAAGGGCGCGUAGGCGGCGCGGUAAGUCACUUGUGAAAUCUCUGAGCUUAACUCAGAACGGCCAAGUGAUACUGCAGUGCUAGAGUGCAGAAGGGGCAAUCGGAAUUCUUGGUGUAGCGGUGAAAUGCGUAGAUAUCAAGAGGAACACCUGAGGUGAAGACGGGUUGCUGGGCUGACACUGACGCUGAGGCGCGAAAGCCAGGGGAGCAAACGGGAUUAGAUACCCUGGUAGUCC